UACGGGGGGGGCAAGCGUUGUUCGGAAUUACUGGGCGUAAAGGGCUCGUAGGCGGCCAACUAAGUCAGACGUGAAAUCCCUCGGCUUAACCGGGGAACUGCAUCUGAUACUGGAUGGCUUGAGGUUGGGAGAGGGAUGCGGAAUUCCGGGUGUAGCGGUGAAAUGCGUAGAUAUCUGGAGGAACACCGGUGGCGAAGGCGGCAUCCUGGACCAAUUCUGACGCUGAGUGAGCGAAAGCCAGGGGAGCAAACGGG
rnacentral:rRNA from 1 species